rnacentral:lncRNA from 1 species
ACGUAUCAAAUGCUCCUAAAGACGAAAAUGGGCCUUUCACUUGUUUCCUAAACUCAUCCCUGAUUGCUGUAUAAAUGGGCUCAAUGAAUCGGGUUAUAACCGUACCUGAAUCAAUAAUGGUUCCAGCUCCCGUAUUCGGGUCAAAUUUUAGAAGCUCUGGGGCAAUGUGUACAUAAACCCGGCCUACGCUAACUCCGGUUAAGUUUACGUAGUAUAAUGAUGGCCGGUGUGGGUUUCGUAGAAGUGGGGUGGUUCUAAUGGCCCUGGGCUGACCCACUGGACCGAGUUUGAGUGAACCCGAGAAGUAAUAGGAUCUGAAACUGGGUAAACAAUAUGAAAAUACACCCGAAUAAAGGGAACUGGAUUGAGAAAGAAGUGAUAAGGAUCCACGGCCCAAACCCAAUAACCCUUGAGGAGGAACUGACCCACCCGAGACAGAGUUUAUGCAUCCAAAAAGAAAAUUGGGGACUACAUCCUUGGCUAAUGAUAACGAAUCUUGCACUAGUGAUGCUGUAAAGGAUGAAUCUCCACCGUAGGAUUGGUUGAAAAGGCAGUAAGAGGUUCCGGUAUCCGGGCAUGAAAAUCCACGGACUUGGGUACAUUGGGCCAUGGAGCAAUCCAAUGACCCGUAAGUAGAAGAGAUAUUUGUAAUGAAUGUGGUGGAGGAGCAACCAGUGCAACCGGAGCAGGGUACCCAAGCAGCAUCAUUACUAGUGUCUAAGACCAUAUUCAUAACUUGACCCGGAGUACCCAAUUUAACCCGAACCACAUAGUUACCAAUGUUUAGAACUUGUUGACCUGGAGCAAUAG